rnacentral:rRNA from 1 species
GAUGAACGCUGGCGGCGUGCUUAACACAUGCAAGUCGAACGGGAAACCUUUUAAUGAAGCUUCGGCAGAUUUAGCUGGUUUCUAGUGGCGGACGGGUGAGUAACGCGUGGGUAACCUGUCUUAUACAGGGGGAUAACAGUCAGAAAUGACUGCUAAUACCGCAUAAGCGCACAGGACCGCAUGGUCCGGUGUGAAAAACUCCGGUGGUAUAAGAUGGACCCGCGUUGGAUUAGCUUGUUGGUGGGGUAACGGCUCACCAAGGCGACGAUCCAUAGCCGGCCUGAGAGGGUGAACGGCCACAUUGGGACUGAGACACGGCCCAGACUCCUACGGGAGGCAGCAGUGGGGAAUAUUGCACAAUGGGGGAAACCCUGAUGCAGCGACGCCGCGUGAAGGAAGAAGUAUCUCGGUAUGUAAACUUCUAUCAGCAGGGAAGAUAGUGACGGUACCUGACUAAGAAGCCCCGGCUAACUACGUG